rnacentral:tRNA from 1 species
GACACAGUGGACACUAACAGCAACUGACUCUUGAUCAGUAGGUUCAGGGUUCGAUUCCCUGGUGCGUCA